AAAAUCCCCACCUCCAGUGUACUCUGUUUUGCCUUACUGGGGAUUUAGGUACCUGACAAAGAGUUGGCUUCUGUGUUGUGUGUGUGUGUAUGUGUCUGUUUGUACCUGACAGGAAAUGGGCCCAAAGACCUCUCUAUCUCCAUCUGAAGACGCCAAAGAGAAAGUUACUCAGUGACACUUGCCAAAGCACACUAGGACGGAAUUUAUUCAGAGAUGGGGCAUCCUGAUUGGAAAGGAAGAAGAAGAACAUGUCUAGUGAUGGAAAGAUAAUGGUCCAUGUGAAAAAUCGUGUAGGCUUUUUUUGUUCUGUGACCGAUGCCACCAUGGGAUGGUACGUUCCUGGGAAGGGCUUGACCCAGUUGGCUGUGCCCUAUCAUCACAUCAGUGUCCCCACCUGGAAGAAAUUGAUAGCUGAUGACAUGAAUUCACAAACUUGCCAGUAAGGGCCUGACUCCUUUGCAAAUCAAUGUGAUGUGGAGGGACGUGAUGGUGUUGCACAAGUGUGCUUGGGAAUAGGGGCUAAAAGCCGGAGAAUGUAUCACAUCCGAAAGAAUCCCUCUUGACCUUCCUGGGGAUCAUCAGGAAGAAAGCAGUUGUUUACAAACAUCUUGAGAAGACGAAGAAGGA